rfam:Sphaeroforma arctica JP610 cont1.13908, whole genome shotgun sequence.
CUCUCUAUAGCUCAGUUGGUAGAGCAACCGACUGUAGAGGAUACAUCAAUCGGUAGGUCCCUGAUUCGAUUUCGGGUGGGGAGA